UACGAAGGGUGCAAGCGUUACUCGGAAUUACUGGGCGUAAAGCGUGCGUAGGUGGUUCGUUAAGUCUGAUGUGAAAGCCCUGGGCUCAACCUGGGAAUGGCAUUGGAAACUGGCGACCUAGAGUGCGGUAGAGGGUAGUGGAAUUCCCGGUGUAGCAGUGAAAUGCGUAGAGAUCGGGAGGAGCAUCUGUGGCGAAGGCGACUGCCUGGACCAGCACUGACACUGAGGCACGAAAGCGUGGGGAGCAAACAGG
rnacentral:rRNA from 1 species